rnacentral:lncRNA from 12 species
AAAACAGAAUGAAAGCCAUUUAAACUGGAAGUCAGUUAUAAGUGACAAGGUGAAAAAAAAAGGAGGACUAUAUCUUUUAUAGAGUCAAAUAUAAACGUUGGGCUGGAAUAAUGAGAAAGACAUAACGGCAAGACUGUGGCAAUAAGAAGAGGGAUGUGGUAAAUUGCCUACCAAAUACUUUUCAUCCAGGAUUUUGUUUCUAGAAGACCAAGACUCUGAGAUCAGAAAGGAUUCACAGGCAUAG